UGGGGAAUUUUGGACAAUGGGGGCAACCCUGAUCCAGCCAUUCCGCGUGGGUGAAGAAGGCCUUCGGGUUGUAAAGCCCUUUCGGCCGGAGCGAAACGGCAGGCGCUAACAUCGCCUGUUAAUGACGGUACCGGCAGAAGAAGCACCGGCUAACUACGUGCCAGCAGCCGCGGUAAUACGUAGGGUGCGAGCGUUAAUCGGAAUUACUGGGCGUAAAGCGUGCGCAGGCGGCUAUAUAAGACAGAGGUGAAAUCCCCGGGCUUAACCUGGGAACUGCCUUUGUGACUGUAUGGCUAGAGUGCGUCAGAGGGGGGUGGAAUUCCACGUGUAGCAGUGAAAUGCGUAGAGAUGUGGAGGAACACCGAUGGCGAAGGCAGCCCCCUGGGAUGACACUGACGCU
rnacentral:rRNA from 1 species